UGUUUAUGUCGCGAUUAACUGUUACGAUCAUUUUCAAGGGCGCAAGUAAGAGUUGCUGGAACCACUUCUCUUCCUUUUUUUAAAUGUUACCAGGGCGACACGAUUUAUUCGCAUGUUGUUUUGUUUAAGGACCGUCUGCUUCAGUUUUAUUUGUGUGCAUUUUUGCUGGCACGAAAGAGACCACGUGGUCUUAAAGAAAUACAAAAUUAGUGAAUGAUUUGGAUGAUUUAGAUCUUUUUCUGGGUUUUGUGGACUUGACAACAAUAAACACUCAUCCCUGAGCAUUUCUGUUGGGCCGUCCUCCAGCGUGUGCAGCCAAUUGAAGAUCAUCAUAUUCCUCAUGUAUUUCGACAGUGGCCGGCCUUGAUCACGCUCGACGUCAUUGAGAGUGAGGGCGCUCUUGAUCCAUGUGGCAUCCAGCGGAGAUGAAUUACCGCCAGAUCCGGCUUUGGCACUCAACGACUCCUCACCGCUUCCGAAAGGCUGAGACUGACACUGUGACUGCUCCGACUGCAUCGUCAGAUCCACCUGGCCACCGGCCGCCUCGGCAACGGCGGCAAUCUGAUCGAGAUUAAAUUGGCUCUGCGAGAGACGCUCCAGCGCCUUGUAAGUUGUCAGGAGCCGGCGUCGUAUAUAACACUGCCUCACGCGCUUGUUCAAAUUGAGGAUGAGAUCAGCCGGCGUGAAUGUGACCCCUCCACCGCCGCCUCCGCCGCCGCAAAAAGCCGCCGCAUCUGUUGACAUGAUCUAUUAGGCUAUUAGAGCAAGUAGACAUAGUAGGCCUAUCAACCUUACCGGCUUUGCUGGAAUCGACAUGGACAGAAGUGGGCCGCCCUUGGGGUGAGGGCAGCUGCGAUGAGAUCUGGAUAGCCGCUCCAUCUCCCACGGCCACCCACGUCGACAGUGAGCGGGAGCCCAUUCCGAAAACCGGGUGCAUCCGCUCGUAUUGUUGUUGGAUUCCGCCCAUGGCUACUUCCGACACGCACGCCCUCAAAGCUCCACCUAGUUAUUGGAUUGGAUAUGGCCAACAUUGUAGAGCUACAACUUUUAUUUUUUCACGUAAGUUUUUUCCCCCUUUCAAUCAUUUCGAGGCGAAAGUUUGAACUCAUCUCGCAAAAUUAGACAAGGGUAAAACAAAAAUUCACGUCGGCCAAUUUCGAACGGAGAUGAAAAGAAACUUUUUAGCGAUGGAGUGGCCAAUAAGAUUUAUACACAUCACGUAAUAGUGCGUGUAUUUUGCAUCUAGAAAUUGAUUGAAGUAAAAAUGUAAAAGAAAAGAAAAAAGAGUUAUAUGCGCGAUCCAUGUCCGAGCUUAUAUUGAAAUUUCUCUCCGUACCCAGCCAGCCGCACUAAAUCAAUAUUGCGCCGGCUACAACUGUCUUAUUCACAAUGCCGGCUGCCUCAAAUGAAAGUGGGCGAAUAAAGGAGAGAGAGAGAGAGAAGGAGGUCGGAAGUAGGUGGGGGGAGACUAUUGGGUGCAUCGCCAUGCAAAGCCAAAAGAGCUACUGUAUAUAGAGACAAAAAACUUUUGCCGCAUUUUGCAUAUGAAAAUGCCCCAACUUCUUUUCUUCUUCUUCUUCUUUUCAAGUCGCUUUUCAUCUUUCUGUUUCUUCCCACUUUUUUCUACACUGGAGAUUUCCGUUUCCUCAAAAGCGGACCUACAAAAACGGAUUUAUUUUCCCAUUGCACCGCCAUACCGACCAUUUUUCUUUCACUAAACAGACGGCCAUUGAACAUCGGGAUAAUCUUAUUGACCGAAAAGCCUCAGCGCGGAGCCGCUUACAGAUAUGUGCGGACAGCCCACAAGGCUAUGUCCGUCCUUAUUUGUCCGAAUGUUUGCCAGUAUUUCUAAUCGCGUCGGAGGAAACGACGACCCUACUGACAGGAUCCGGGCGCCAACAUGUCAAGUGCGCACUGACGUCGUCGUCGUCGUCGGGUGGGUAGGGGGGGUUUCUGAUGACAAAAGGAAGUUUUCGGGAUGACACUUUGCCCUCUAUAUAAUAAGGAGGCGGAAGCCCAAAUAGCCCGCCAACCCCGCUCCCACCCAAAAGAAAAUAACUUGCUAUUAUUCUGCCUAGGUGAUGAGAGACAGCCGAGCGGGACGCAACUGGAAUGACAAUUAUUCGACCGUUUCGAUCGAUAAAGCUCCUCCUUGGCUCCUCUGCUGCAGUCUCUCUCAGCUCCUAAACAACGUGUAUAUACAUACUACAUAGAACCAGCCAGGGUUUGUGUUUGUGUGUGCUGCAGCUCACCAGCAGGGCUCCUAUAGUACUUGCUCCUACAUGGCAACACAAUGUCGACCGGCGUUUUCCUUGUACCCAGGAGCUUAGACAUAUAAAAGACGCCAACAUUUUUCCCUUUUAAUUUAGAAAGACUUUUUUCUUUUCCCCCGUGUGUGUGUAGAAAAAGAACGAAGGAUAAUGUGUACCAUUGUUGUGAAGAGGCGAUCCGGACUCAUCCAGCGAGACGAUAUCGCCGGUGCUGAAACUCUUUUGCAGUCCCAGGGCUUUGGAGAGAGUCGAGAAGUUCUUGAUGACGCUGAGAUCAGUUUCCUCUUCCCACCAGCCGCCGUCGACGGAUCGACCGCCAACGCCCACGGAAGAAGCGCCGGGAACUCUGAGGAAGCGCCCGCCGCCGCUUCCACCCGGAAUCGGACUCGGCCCUCGGUUCGGCGUCAGAUACGCCGACAGCUGCUGAUUCUCUGGCACGGCUUUCAGGAAACUGAGAUGGGCCGGCAGUUUGUUACUGUUCCAGCCGCACUCGGACAGGUAGCUGCUGGACACGGACAUUUCGGUGGCCACCGAUUCACGGCUCGGCGAGCGCGGCGGCAUUUUCAAAUUGGUCGGCAGGCUCACUUGAAUCCGUGGGCUGUUCAUCCCGUUAUUGGCCGACCCAGCACUAUUGACGCCCAUCAAAUUUAAUCCGUCUGAAGCCAUCGGCUUCUCUUCUUGCUCCUCCUCCUGCCUCGUGCUGUACGAUUCUCCAGGAAUCGGUUGCUCUUCACCACUUGGUGCUGCAAGAUACAGUACACACACUUGACUAUACACACAUAUAGGCUUUAGCUUGAGUCUCAUGUUUCCCGAAUAUAGUAUAUCGCCCACUGCAUAAUAGAUCUUAUUUAUCGACUCGACCGUUUGCCAUCCAGCACUCCCCCCGGAAGGCCUAGACUCUACACUGACGAUUGUGAUUAACCUCACGUAUAUACACACACAGACACACAGGAGGUAUCAAAGGGGGGGGGGGGGACGAUUGGACUCGGCGGGGCGGAAAGAACAGAAAAUAAAGGGCGCACGACCUAUUCUUUUUGCCAUCCAGCGUGACCCCCUCUCGUGCCACAUCUAACAAGUUCCGAGUUUUUCAUUCGCCCAUUCCGUUUUUUCUCAAUCGAUAGAUAAAACGAAAUCAUCACAAAGUGGGAGAGAGCUCGGGGAGGUCGAUAUGCUUGUCUUAACUUGUGUGUGUGUAUAUUGUACAACUACUACCUUGAUUUU
rnacentral:lncRNA from 1 species